AAGGAAGCAGAGCAGGAGCUAAGCAGACGAUAGGCAGCAGGAGCUAGGGGAAGAGUUGGAGGCUGGACAGGCGGACGGAUCCACAGCUGUAGCAUGAAGCUGCUGCCCAGCUGGAGAGCCCGGCUGCCUGAGGGCCUGUGGAGCAGGGCCUGGCCGUGGGCCCAACAACCCAGAAGAACUGCUCAUAGCUGUGCCCCAAAGAUGAGGGCCCAGGAGAACCUGGAGGGCCAGACACAGCAUGAGUCCCUGGGCUCUGCAGGGAACUCCGAGAGGGAUCCCACGGAGUCCCUGCGCAGAGAGCCCAAGUUUGACAUGUUGUACAAGAUCGAGGAUGUGCCACCCUGGUACCUGUGUAUUCUGCUGGGCUUCCAGCAUUACUUGACAUGCUUCAGUGGCACCAUUGCUGUGCCCUUCCUCCUGGCUGAGGCACUGUGUGUGGGCCGGGACCAGCACAUGGUCAGCCAGCUCAUCGGGACGAUCUUCACCUGCGUGGGCAUCACCACCCUCAUCCAGACCACACUGGGAAUCCGGCUGCCGUUGUUCCAGGCCAGCGCCUUUGCAUUUCUGGUCCCAGCCAAAGCCAUCCUGGCCCUGGAGAGAUGGAAAUGCCCCCCAGAAGAGGAUAUCUACGGUAACUGGAGUCUUCCCCUGAACACCUCUCAUAUUUGGCAUCCACGGAUACGAGAGGUCCAGGGUGCAAUCAUAGUGUCCAGCACGGUGGAGGUGGUGAUCGGGCUGAUGGGGCUGCCUGGGGCCCUGCUCAGCUAUAUAGGACCUCUCACGGUCACCCCCACUGUCUCCCUCAUUGGCCUGUCUGUCUUCCAAGCUGCUGGUGACCGAGCUGGUUCCCACUGGGGCAUCUCAGCUUGUUCCAUUCUCCUGAUCAUCCUCUUCUCCCAGUACCUGCGUAACCUCACCUUCCUGCUGCCUAUCUACCGCUGGGGCAAGGGCCUGACUCUCUUCCGCAUCCAGAUCUUCAAGAUGUUUCCAAUUGUGCUGGCCAUCAUGACCGUGUGGCUGCUCUGCUACAUCCUGACCCUGACAAACGUGCUGCCCUCAGACCCCACAGCUUACGGCUUCCAGGCGCGGACAGAUGCACGAGGAGACAUCAUGGCUAUUGCACCCUGGAUCCGCAUUCCCUACCCCUGUCAGUGGGGCCUGCCCACAGUGACUGCGGCUGCUGUCCUGGGAAUGUUCAGUGCCACACUGGCAGGCAUCAUCGAGUCCAUCGGAGAUUACUAUGCUUGUGCCCGCCUGGCGGGUGCCCCACCCCCUCCUGUACAUGCCAUCAACAGGGGUAUCUUCACCGAAGGCAUCUGCUGCAUUAUCGCAGGGCUGCUGGGCACAGGCAACGGGUCGACGUCGUCCAGCCCCAACAUUGGCGUUCUGGGGAUUACCAAGGUAGGCAGCCGGCGUGUGGUGCAGUACGGUGCGGGGAUCAUGCUCGUCCUGGGCACAAUUGGCAAGUUCACCGCCCUUUUUGCUUCACUCCCUGACCCCAUACUGGGGGGUAUGUUCUGCACCCUUUUUGGCAUGAUUACGGCUGUGGGGCUAUCCAACUUGCAGUUCGUGGACAUGAACUCCUCCCGCAACCUGUUCGUGCUCGGAUUUUCCAUGUUCUUCGGGCUCACGCUGCCCAAUUACCUGGAGUCCAACCCUGGCACCAUCAAAACAGGCAUUCCUGAAGUGGACCAGAUUCUGACUGUGCUGCUGACCACAGAGAUGUUCGUGGGUGGGUGCCUCGCUUUCAUACUGGACAACACAGUGCCAGGGAGCCUAGAAGAACGAGGUCUGAUACAGUGGAAAGCUGGGGCCCAUGCCAACAGUGAGAUGUCCACCAGCCUCAAGAGCUAUGACUUCCCCAUUGGGAUGAACAUUGUAAAAAGGAUUGCCUUUCUGAAAUACAUUCCUAUCUGCCCAGUCUUCAAAGGAUUUUCUUCAAGGUCGAAAACCCAGCCUCCAGUUUCAGAAGACAUUCCAGAAAAUAUACAAACUGGAUCUGCAUGCACCAAAGUCUAAAAAAUUACUCCUAGUAAAGAUACACGCAUAAGGACACACCUGACACUCUGGAAUCGAAUAAAGCCUGCUCUCAGCAAAUCUUGCCAGCAGGGUAGUCCUGAAGUACUGAGCCCACACUAAAGAAGCAAGGUUUGUAACAGGAAAAGAAAACUACAUGGGGAAUCAGAAGACCAAAGAUGGAAUUUCGUCACUGUUCUAACUAGCUUCCUAUGAAAGGCUGGAUAAGUCACUUUCUCUGGGACUCUUAAAAGAAGAAUGGGCCAAAGUCUCUAAGAGCCACCAUUCUAUACCUUUAAAUCUUUAUUUUCCUAGACAGACAUAUCAGUAUACUGAGAAUAGCUGGAAAUUUGCCUCCACCACAGUUGACAAAAGAUGAAAAGAAAUCAAGAUGUAUUCCAGGCCCUGAAAUGUAGGAAUGCUGAGAGGCUUUUAGAGGGAAUCUGAACCCCCUAUAUCACUUACUUCAAGACCAAAGCAUAUUAAAUAACAUGUUGGAGCAAUAAUUUAAUUUUAGUUUCAUAAUUAUACACAACCAUUUCCUUGGACAGGACAUACAUAGUCUCACUUCUCUCAAGUGAAUUAUUUCUAAACUUUAAAGUGUGAGGUUUAAAUUAAAAAGCAGUGUUCUUCAAUGUGUCUUUUGGCAGCUACAAAAGAAUGAGAAGGAAUUAACAUAAUUUCAAAUAAACCAAGUCGAGUCGAACAAACCAGUUUCUAGGCAAUUAUACUGGGUCCAUAUUAAAGUUAUACAUUACGGGGCACCUGGGUGGCUCAGUGGGUUAAGCCUCUGCCUUCGGCUCAG